rnacentral:misc_RNA from 1 species
AAGUCGUAACAAGGUUUCCGUAGGUGAACCUGCGGAAGGAUCAUUAUAAAAUUUUUCUACAUAUUUUUAAAAUAUGUUAAAAAAAUAAAAUUCUGUAUUCAAAACCCACACUCUUUUUAAACCCAUAUAAAAAAAUUAUUAUGUUCAUAUAUACAUAAUUUUUUUAUAUAAAAAAAUAUAUAUAAUUUAAAAGACAACUUUCAACAACGGAUCUCUUGGCUCUC